CCUACGGGGGGCAGCAGUAGGGAAUCUUCCACAAUGGGCGAAAGCCUGAUGGAGCAACGCCGCGUGGGUGAAGAAGGUCUUCGGAUCGUAAAACCCUGUUGUUAGAGAAGAAAGUGCGUGAGAGUAACUGUUCACGUUUCGACGGUAUCUAACAAGAAAGCCACGGCUAACUACGUGACAGCAGCCGCGGUAAUACGUAGGUGGCAAGCGUUAUCCGGAUUUAUUGGGCGUAAAGGGAACGCAGGCGGUCUUUUAAGUCUGAUGUGAAAGCCUUCGGCUUAACCGGAGUAGUGCAUUGGAAACUGGGAGACUUGAGUGCAGAAGAGGAGAGUGGAACUCCAUGUGUAGCGGUGAAAUGCGUAGAUAUAUGGAAGAACACCAGUGGCGAAAGCGGCUCUCUGGUCUGUAACUGACGCUGAGGUUCGAAAGCGUGGGUAGCAAACAGGAUUAGAUACCCGGGUAGUC
rnacentral:rRNA from 1 species